GAACGGCACAAAGCAACAAUGCAAUACUAAUUACCUAGCAUGGGAACAAGAUGAUAAUGAUUAACUGUGAAUUUCUUUUAUUAUUACUAUCUGGAAUAAAAGCGUUUUGAAUGAAGGAGAAUUUUGACUGGCCUGUGUGCAUGCUUUAUUGAUACUGCCUGAAGGAGUCCUCCCAGCCACACUGCAGGGAUGCUGUCACGGUGCUGCUGCACGAUCCUGGCUUUUCACAAAAAACCCUUUUCUGGUUGGGUGUGCAUCUGAUCUGCAUAAUCGCUCCACAGCUAAGCAAAGCUCCAUGCUCUGAGCAGCUGACAGCAACCUUUAAUCCAAGGUCAGCAACUUGCUUUAAUGACUGCAAUUUUAUUUUGUUUCAUCAGACAAACAUGACCGUGGUUCUCUGCUGUCUGGCCGGAGCUGCUAUACCUUCCCAGCCUCUCACAAAAACAAAGUUUAAUACUGCCGAACAACUCUGGGUAAAUACAACUCAGUAAAUGACCUCAGUUCCCCAAAGGGUGCACAGGAGAACGAAGUGGGCACAGAAAGGAGAAAGCCUUCAGCGGAACAGUUUUCACAUGAAUCCUUCCUGCCUUACCUCCCAGCCUCUCCCAUUUACAGGCCUUUGCCAGACGAGCUGCCUGCUGCUACAGAAGUUAUGAAAGCAAAGAAGAACCUUCCAAGGCUUCCCUCUCAUUCCUUCCCCUGAAACAGCUCUUGACAGAGAAAAAGAUUCGAGUAGUUGUUAUUUCAGGAGCUCUGCUUCUAUGAAACUCCGGGGCCCCACAUCUCCCUCGAGAGGACCUCUCCUCCCACAGCACGAGGCGCUCACCUGCAGCCCACGGAUAGCAUCCCCUCAUACCUCCCCACUGCUGCGACAGCACAACCACCUCACUGCUGGCAGGAGCAGUGAGAGGCCAUGGCAGAGGGGACCUGGAGGGGGCUAAAUGCACACCCCAGCUCUAUUUCCUCCCACGUGGACUUCCAUUUGGAGAUCCCAGCACAGCCAGAGGUGGGUGCUGUGAGAAGCGGCCUCUCCCUCGUGCUCAGUGCAGAAAUCAGCAGGGCUCCCAUAGAUGGGCUCCAUGCUGGGACAGACAGGAGAGAGUUUCCUCUCUUGGGAGUUUAUUCAACCUAGAACGCACUUAUUUCCUCAACAGGAAGCUCCCUUCCAGUUAUCAUCAUUACAAUGUAUAUCUCUGAGGAUAUGUAGCUUUCCUUAUAAUAAUUCACCCAUGAAAAGGCAAGAAAAACAGCCAGUAGAAGAAGCACUAAGCUCUCUUAUUUUUGUUUCAGUCUCAGUGAAUAGGAAUUCACUGUGUGUUUUAGGACUCAUUAGCAGCCUAAGGACUGUAACAGCCCUUAAAAAAUUGGCCACUUAAAUCUGAGUUGCAGUGACUUUACUGGUAAGGCUGAGGAAAGUUGGCCGUGCAUAAGAAGGAGCAGGUUCUCUCCUGCCCAGUUAACCAUGCAGGAUGCCCAACACAAAACCAAAAAGGCCCAAACCUGUCACCUCGCUCAUGGGGCAAUGCAGUCAGCCUGCCCAGCCCACCACAUUCCUCCAGCUGGCAGAGAUCACUGCUGGAGACAGAUGUUGUUCCAGACCUCCCAAUGGCAGCAAACGCACAUCCAGUUCACACAGACAGCUGAGGCAGCCUAAUGCCACCUCCCUUCCUUCUCUCAAAUCCAAUGCCAGAGAAGAAACACACAUGUAUAAAUUCAAACAGCCCAUAUCUACCUAAACUUGCACUGACUACCACAGAACUAAAGGACCAACCAGCCAACAAACCUGCUGGGAAAAGAAAACCAAUAGGCUAUGAAAAUCCACGUCCCCAGGUGUUGGCUUUUUAAAAUGCUGCCAGCACCAUCCCUCCAACUCCAUCCUGACAAUAAACUCCAGAUUUCUACAUGUGAGGGAGAAGAUGCAGCUCUUUCUCAAACCCCAAUUAACUGAGUCCAUCUUCUAAUACAUAACAUUUCUCCACUGCAGUUCUUCUAAGCAGAUGCCACAGCACAGGCACUUUGAAGUGGAAACCCCAUGAAGAACUAAAAGAGCGAGAUGCAAAACAUUAUUUUACAUGAGGCAAUAGUUUCACAUACACUUCAAGUUGGCACAAGCUAGGACAGCCAGCGGAGGAGACGAUCCUGCCCUCCCCCCAGGUUCCAGCUGUUCAUUUCCAGCCCCACUCCCAUGUGUGCAGACAAGCAGCUGUGUGGCCCAGCAGGAAGCAGAGUAGGGAACUUAUCUGGAUGAAAACAUUACAGUUCACUGGAGAGGACAGUUCUGAAAUGGGAAAAAGCAACCAUGGGCAUAGG
ensembl:lncRNA